GCAGGUUAGAGCCUGGCAAUGCCGUUUGGGUGUGUGACUCUGGGCGACAAGAAGAACUAUAACCAGCCAUCGGAGGUGACUGACAGAUAUGAUUUGGGACAGGUCAUCAAGACUGAGGAGUUCUGUGAAAUCUUCCGGGCCAAGGACAAGACGACAGGCAAGCUGCACACCUGCAAGAAGUUCCAGAAGCGGGACGGCCGCAAGGUGCGGAAAGCUGCCAAGAACGAGAUAGGCAUCCUCAAGAUGGUGAAGCAUCCCAACAUCCUACAGCUGGUGGAUGUGUUUGUGACCCGCAAGGAGUACUUUAUCUUCCUGGAGCUGUGAGUGUGGGUCUGGGGACCCAAGAUUCCCCAGCGCCCAGAGCUUUCACCUGUCCCACCCUCUGCAGCUAAGGAAACCCCCUUUCUGGACCCUUGGCGUCCCAGGUCCCUGUGCCUUGCUCAGCCAGCUGCCUGGCGCAGGCAGCUCACCCAAGUGCUCCUGCCCUACCCCCGAUUCUGCCCACACCAGGCUCAGGGGCUGGUGUCCCUCAGGGCCACGGGGAGGGAGGUGUUUGACUGGAUCCUGGACCAGGGCUACUACUCGGAGCGAGACACAAGCAACGUGGUACGGCAGGUCCUGGAGGCCGUGGCCUAUUUGCACUCACUCAAGAUCGUGCACAGGAAUCUCAAGCUGGAGAACCUGGUUUACUACAACCGGCUGAAGAACUCGAAGAUUGUCAUCAGUGACUUCCAUCUGGCUAAGCUAGAAAAUGGCCUCAUCAAGGAGCCCUGUGGGACCCCCGAGUAUCUGGGCAAGCAGGGGGUGGGGCAGGGGCAGGGGGAUAAUGGGGGGCAGCCUUCAGGGAGCUGCUCUGGGCAGGGGGAAAAUGUGCUCAUCUCAGGAAGCUGGUGUGGAUGGUACUGGACCUGGCUAGGCCUGAUACUGACCAGCAGAUGGGCGCUGUGUUUGUAGCCCCAGAGGUGGUAGGCCGGCAGCGGUAUGGACGCCCUGUGGACUGCUGGGCCAUUGGAG
rnacentral:sRNA from 1 species